UAUCUCUGUAGAGUCUGCAUAUCAAUAAGCGGAGGAAAAGAAACUAACUAGGAUUCCCUCAGUAACGGCGAGUGAAGCGGGAAGAGCUCAAAUUUGAAAUCUUCAAGGUUCUACCUUGACGAAUUGUAGUUUAAAGAAGUGUUUUCUGUUGGAGUUUUGGAUAAAAGUUCUUUGGAAUAGGACAUCAUAGAGGGUGAGAAUCCCGUAUUUGACCAUUUACUUUCAAGCUUUGUGAUACACUUUCAAAGAGUCGGAUUGUUUGGGAAUGCAGUCCAAAAUGGGUGGUAAAUUUCAUCUAAAGCUAAAUAUUGGCGAGAGACCGAUAGCGAACAAGUACCGUGAGGGAAAGAUGAAAAGAACUUUGAAAAGAGAGUUAAACAGUACGUGAAAUUGUCAAAAGGGAAGCGUUUGACACCAGUGUUGUUUUCUCGAAAAUCAAUUAAAAAAGGCAGGAUUUUGUGUUGUAUUGACUUUAUCAGCUUUCUGCACUCUUUUCUUGUCUUUUUUAAUGCACUUUUCGUUUAACAAGUCAACAUCAAUUUCUUUUGUUGUAAAAGGGUCAUUGGAAGGUGGCUUUCUUUUCGGAGAAAGUGUCUAUAGCCUUUGGCCUCUGCAAUCGGAGAGAUUGAGGUCUGCAGCGUAGAUCCUUCGGGGUUAGAUACAUUUGUGCUAAGUUAUAGCCUUUCGUAGACAACUUGUUGACUAUGAUCAGUCAUGUAGCUUACUCGCUUAUGCUAUUUUACCUACGCUUAGGAUGUUGACGAUCAGCUGAGCGCG
rnacentral:rRNA from 1 species